rnacentral:lncRNA from 1 species
UUUUGAGCUGAUUCAUCCCCUUCCACCAGCUUGUCUUUCCAUUAGGCCUCUCCACAGAACCACAACCAAAGCAUUCCCUCUCGGUAAGUCUCUCGGGUUUACCCUUGUAUCUUCCAGAGAUUUAACUAGGUUGGAUAUUCUUGUGGUUUUCAAAGCUUUGUGGCCCAUGGUUCUAACUACAAGCAUUGUGUUGUGCCAUCUUUAGACAACAAACUCACCAUCUUCAACGAUUGACCUGUUUUAGACUUAUAAGAACAGAUUUCAACAAGAGAUUAGAGAGUAAAGUACUGAAAAUAAAGAGAGUAUAAGUAACAAGAGUAUAUGAGAAUGAUAGAGAAUAAGUAACAAGAGAAUAUAGAGUAUUAGUGCAAGUAAAUAGAAUAGACAUAAAUAAAGGAGAUUUUUUUUUGUCAUCAAUAAAGGAGAAUAGCAUAAGCAAAUAGAAUGGGUAUAAAUUAAAGAGAAUAGAGAAUUUGCUCAAGAGUUCAAAUAGACAGAGUUUUGCUCUGUUUUCUUGAGUUUUAAUGAAACUUUAACAUCCAAGAGCAUCCAAGAAUCAUUAAGAGUUUGGUGCUUUAAUGGCUGAAACAUAAUGGACCGUUGGUUAAUCGAUUUACCCACUGGUUAAAGACAUGAACCCACUGAAAUAACACAUGAACAAGAGUUUUCCAGUGGAUUUAAAGGCAACAUGAGCCACGAAAUACCAUAUUGAAGAUGAUUUUCGUGGCCUAGUUGUAAAGCGAAAGCAAAAGAAACCUUUGGACAAAACUGUUUGUCCACCGGUGACAAAGAUGCAUCCUUAGAAACAAGCUUAUAUCCAAAAGACUAAGGGAAAUAUGGAUGCAAAAUUAAAGAUCUUUCUCCUCCUCAAGUUUAAACAUGGGAGUAACAACACAACCAAGAACAAACUUUCAACAACAAGAGGUGGGAGAGAAAAACUUUCAAAACAACAAAUAAAGAAAAUGCUUUAGAGAACGAGUUCUUAAGUUCUUGAAGAACCAAGAGAGCGACCCGCUCUGACACCAUGUUAGUUUCUAUGAGACUAAGCUAAUAAUAGAGAGUAGACAAUCACUUGGUGAAUGAAUCUCUCUUUAACCAUACAAGGGAACUAGUUCUUAAGAUGAAGAGACCAACAUCUUGUGAUGAAAUCCACACAUAUAUCCAACAAUAUGUCUAAAUAUACUAGAGAGUAAAUCAAGUAUAUGAAGGAGAAAGCAUCUAGUUUGUGUUAGAUUUGAGGAACAAGAAUGAGAAAGAGAUUGAGAAAGAAGAU